AUGUCACGUGCAAAGAUGAAGUAUGACCUUCUUCCCUCCCCGCCAGGAAAAAGAAAAAGAUGAGGAAAGCAGAGUGGAGAAAAAAAGGGAGGAAAAACGGGGAAAAUUAUUAUUUAAAUGAUGUUGGUUUCCUUGCUUUUGCUGCGUGAUGAUGGCCUUGUUUCUUAGAUAAUAUUGUUCUUUCCUGCGAACCAGCCCGUAUUCAUUCACUAAACAGGAAUCUGGUUGGUGUAACAUUAUCAGUUCACGCCUCAUUCAUUUAAUUGAUUUGGCUGGAAUCUGGUUGGGAUAACAUUUUGAGUUCAUAUUCAAGUACUUGCUCUGUGUAGGUAUCCUGUUGUAUGGCAUUAAUGUUUGACUCAACUGAAACUUCCAAGCAGUUAAAUCUUCAAAGAAGUAGUCAAAGUUGUUGCAUUGUUGCUAGCUAUUUGUUUCUAUUAAUUUUAAAAUGUGUCGCAGGGAAGCUUGGUGCUAAAGAGGUUUUCCCUUCUUAUGGAUUCUAAGACCUGAUUUACUUAAUCCGAGUUCAUGACUUUUUAUCUUGUCCUUCUAA